ACACAGUACCCUGACACCUAACUGUUAGAGCGUCGAUAGAGUUUGGCAGUUAGCUUAUUAAACGCUGUGAGAUCAACUGACGAUGGCCUUCGCUAUGUUAUGCGUAUGUAAGAUAAUCCCAGUACGACGUAACACGCAGCCACGUUACAGUU
ensembl:snoRNA snoRNA:Psi28S-3305c snoRNA:Psi28S-3305c